GGCCUCGUGGCUCAACUGGUAGAGCGUGCGUUGUACAAAAGCGUAGGUGGCGUCCAUCCGUGGGUUCGAUUCCCACGGAGGCUA
rnacentral:tRNA from 1 species